GCUCCCGGUGGCGAACAACUUCCCGCUGACGGAGGAGGACCGCGACGUGUCGCACAAGAGUCGCAGGUUCGAUUCCUGUCGGGGCACCA
rnacentral:tRNA from 1 species